AUUGAACGCUGGCGGCAUGCCUUACACAUGCAAGUCGAACGGCAGCACGGGGGCAACCCUGGUGGCGAGUGGCGAACGGGUGAGUAAUACAUCGGAACGUGCCCCGUAGCGGGGGACAACCAGUCGAAAGACUGGCUAAUACCGCAUACGCUCCACGGAGGAAAGCAGGGGAUCGCAAGACCUUGCACUAUGGGGAGCGGCCGAUGCCCGAUUAGCUAGUUGGUGAGGAAAGGCUCACCAAGGCAACGAUCGGUAGCUGGUCUGAGAGGACGACCAGCCACACUGGGACUGAGACACGGCCCAGACUCCUACGGGAGGCAGCAGUGGGGAAUUUUGGACAAUGGGCGCAAGCCUGAUCCAGCCAUGCCGCGUGCGGGAAGAAGGCC
rnacentral:rRNA from 1 species